rnacentral:rRNA from 1 species
GACAGAGGUGCCGAGCGUUAGGCGGAAUCACUGGGCUUAAAGCGUGCGCAGGCGGUUCUCCAAGUCCGUUGUGAAAGCCCCGGGCUCAACCUGGGAAUGGCAGUGGAAACUAGGGGACUGGAAUCUGGCAGAGGGGGGUGGAAUGCCGCGUGUAGCAGUGAAAUGCGUAGAGAUGCGGCGGAACACCGAUGGCGAAGGCAGCCCCCUGGGCUGAGAUUGACGCUCAGGCACGAAAGCGUGGGGAGCAAACAGG